ensembl:lncRNA
GGGGGAGGCUUCCAAAGGGAAAGUCGCUCUGCGCUCUCAGGAUGCACAGCCUGGUAUGCAGGUAGGUGGGGGAGCCACUGAGCCUUCAGCAGGGGUGAGUGAAGAAGGAGAGUGGUGAAGGGUGACAAGCCUUCACUUUGGUUAUUGAAAGGGGAAUUAGGUUUUAAAGUGAAAUGAAAUACAGUUGGGCUUCGCAGAUUCUUUACCAUCUGAGCCGCCAGAGAAGCACCCACACCACAGGGAUUGGGAAAUGCUGGAGACCAGGGGCUUCUCCUCCUGAAAAGCCAGCUGCUAAACAGCUCCUGGCACAGCCCCACCAUCAGGGAAGGUGGGUGGGAGCAGAGAGGUGGACCAAGGGGCUCGAGGGAACUCGUGGAUUUACAGCUUCCGUCUCAGGCUCACUCCAGGCCUUCAGUUUGAGCAGAGAGUAGAUUCUCCUAGAGUGGACUUGCUGCACAAUUGAAAUUGCUAUUCUCUUCUCUCUUCCUUAUUGUUGCUGAGAGCAAAUAACUGAGUAUGAAACAUGCAUAAGCUGUGUCUCCACUGGAAGCAAGAUGGUGGACGUGGACUGUGUCUUUGGGCCCAACCUGUGAUGGACAGUGCCCGGGUCCUAAAGAGUGCUUCCUAAGGCCUUCUGGACUUCACACUGCAUGGUGUCUGGCUCUAGUCCCUUAGAAAUCCCUAAGAAAUGGAGUAGCCAUCAUGGUCAACAAAAGAGUCUGAAAUGCAGUACUUGGAUGCAAUCUCAAAAAUGACAGAAUGAUCUCUGUUCGUUUCCAAGGCAAACCAUUCAAUAUCAUGGUGAUCCAAGCCUAUGCCCCAACCAGUAACGCUGAAGAAACUGAAGUUGAACGGUUUAUGAAGACCUAUAAGACCUUUUAGAACUAACACCCAAAAAAGAUGUCAUUUUCAUUAUAGAGGACUGGAAUGCAAAAGUAGGAAGUCAAGAAACACCUGGAAUAACAGGAAAAUUUGGCCUUGGAAUGCGGAAUGGAGCAGGGCAAAGGCUAAUAGAGUUUUGCCAAGAGAACGCACUGGUCAUAGCAAAC